GCACAUAUGGCGGAAUUGGUAGACGCGUCAGCUUGAGGGGUUGGUGAACAAUAGUUCGUGCAGGUUCGACUCCUGUUAUGUGCACUA
rnacentral:tRNA from 1 species